rnacentral:lncRNA from 1 species
GGCAAACUCUGAGCUGUAACCAAUCUAGCUGUUUCUGUACCUCACUUCGCAUUCCUGUCCUUUUUUGUCUAUAAAUUUGUUCUGACCACGAGGCAUCCCUGGAGUCUCUCUGAAUCUGCUGUGAUUCUGGGGGCUGCCCGAUUCAUGAACUGUUCAUUGCUCAACUAAACUCCUUUAAAUUUAAUUCGGCUGAAGAUUUUCUUUUAUCAGGUGGUGUCAGAAGUGGGAUCUGAAGCGGAGGUUCCAGCAACUCCCAGGAGCACUGAAUGAACACACAAGCCAGAUGAAAAAAGGUAAAUUUCCUUUAUGAUGCUACUUGGCCCCCAGCAUGAUGGUGCAAGCUGGAUCACUGGGGCUGCUCAGGGAAAAGGAACCCAGAAGCCUGGCAUGCUG